GAUGAACGCUGGCGGCGUGCCUAAUACAUGCAAGUCGAGCGAACAGACGAGGAGCUUGCUCCUCUGACGUUAGCGGCGGACGGGUGAGUAACACGUGGAUAACCUACCUAUAAGACUGGGAUAACUUCGGGAAACCGGAGCUAAUACCGGAUAAUAUAUUGAACCGCAUGGUUCAAUAGUGAAAGACGGUUUUGCUGCCACUUAUAGAUGGAUCCGCGCCGCAUUAGCUAGUUGGUAAGGUAACGGCUUACCAAGGCAACGAUGCGUAGCCGACCUGAGAGGGUGAUCGGCCACACUGGAACUGAGACACGGUCCAGACUCCUACGGGAGGCAGCAGUAGGGAAUCUUCCGCAAUGGGCGAAAGCCUGACGGAGCAACGCCGCGAGAGUGAUGAAGGUCUUCGGAUCGUAAAACUCUGUUAUUAGGGAAGAACAAAUGUGUAAGUAACUAUGCACGUCUUGACGGUACCUAAUCAGAAAGCCACGGCUAACUACGUG
rnacentral:rRNA from 1 species